AGAUGCCUGGUGGAAAACAGUAUGUGUGGAGCUGCUGAGAAGCAGCCAGCGGGAGGAAGAAGAGAGCCCAGCGGGACAGACGCCAAAACCACACGUUUGUUUGUUUGUUUGUUGCAUUUAUAUCUUUGCUGGCUUGGCCAUGUCCACAGAAUGGGAGAAGGCAGGAUCCCCAAGGAUGUGCUCUAGGGGGAGCUGGCUUCAGGCACCAGGCCUGUUGCCAGACCAGCUCUAUGUUACAAAUGGCAGUGAACAGAGGAGGAGUGACCAAUGGGAGGAGUGCAGAGAGAAGACACAGCACGGUGCAUCAAACACCCACAUCUGCCCCAGCUGCAACAAAACAUGUCUCGUCCGUGUUGGUCUCUACAGCCACAGCAGGGGCUGCAACCUUCCAAUGGUUUGGCUUCACCUCCAAAGGCACACUUCUUCAUGGUCUCCCAGGACAGAUGGAUGCCAACCAACCAGCAGUGGCGUCGCAACAGGGGGCAGGGAGGGCGGUGCGCCCCGGGUGCCAUGUCUGGGGGGGGUGACGACAAGAAGCCACCCCGCGGGGGCUCGCGGAGGCGCGAGCAGCCAUCACGCCGCUGCAGCCGCAUGUGGGGGAAACUCUGUUCACUACUGCAGCCGCAAGCAGAAGAUCCCGGUGCUGGCAGCGAACCACUAUGUACAGCGCAUGUGCAGCGUCACAUGCAUGCGCCAUAUGUAAUGCCGCCGCACAUGCGCUGUACAUAGCGGUUUGCCGGCGGCGCUACUGGAGCACCAUACAGACGGCGGUGGGAUCCCUCCGUCGCCGCUACAACUGCGAACGGAGGAUCCCGGCACCGUCCAUACGGCUCUUGAGCACUGCUGCUGGCAAACUGCUAUGUACAGCGCAUGUGUGGUGUUGCUAUGUACGCCCCGCCCCGGGUGUCACGACGCUUGCCAACCAGCAUUUAUAGCCCACCUUUCCUCCAAGAGCUCAAUAGAGCAUGCCUGGUUCUCUUCCUCUCCAUUUUAUCUUUGCAACAUUUUAUCUUUGCAAGGGAGGUUAAGCUGAGAAGCGGUGGCUGGCCCCCAAGGCCACCCAGAAAGCUUUCUGGCCAAGGGGAGGAUUCAAACCCUGGUCUCUCCCAGGCCCUGGUUUGACACCAUAACCCCUAGGCCAUACUGUCACCACCUCCCCACUCUUUCUCUCAAGUCAAGACUCAAGAAACGAGAGCUGCAGAAUCUCUCUGGGGGGCGCAGGGGGGGGGGGCGGAAUAGUUAAUUGCUCAUGAUAUUUGGAUUCUGCAAACUAUUAUUUGAACCAGAAUUAUUCCUUUGGUGGCCAGCAAACCAAAACCAAAACCUUUUGGGUGCCAAUUUAGCAAACAUGCAAUUAAAUGUGGGCAUGCAGCGCUGUUCGUGUUCUUGAGCAUCCCUUUAAUGCUCCAUCUCUGGGCCACAUCUGACUUCAAGCAGCCUGCAGCCUUCUCUUUCUGAGCCAUAUUUUCAGGCCUGGAAAAAAACACAUCCCUUGCCUCAAAGGACCAGGGAAGAUUCCAGGAACGGGGCUUAUAAAACUGCAGAAAGAGAAAGCACACACACACCCCCUCCACGUUUGUUCAAGUGCUGCGGUUUGCUUUAAUUCAGUGCAGGCCAUUUGAGAGAGAUGAAGUUCCACCACCUGCUUGUGGGAUGAUCACCCAGCUCUUCUGGGGAACCAAACAAUGCCAGAUCUAUACAUUUUGCCAUGGGGGCAGAACUCGGCAACAACAACACCCCCACUCUCUGAUGGUGAGCAAACUCCCACAUAAACUUUUUAGAAUUGCAGCCAAUCACAAAGGAUUUCUGACUCAGAAUGGUUCCCAAACUUUUUCAGGACCCCCCCCCCCGGUCCAUGAACUCAUCCCAAGUGCCCCUACCCUAUUAAAAACAUUAUUCAGAAUAGUGGUUUGUAUGACCCACUAAGGAAGAUGAUAAAAUUCCAAACAGUAACAAUGAGUUGCGCAUUUAUUCAACAUCCAGUUAAAACUAUGUAAUUUAAUUAAUUCAACUCAUUAACUUGGUCCAGUGAGACCAUCUUUUCAAAGUCUGAUAGUCUUUUGCAGUGCUCCCCCCCAAAAAAACAUUUAGGGGUACUCUCAUUUCGACUCAAGAAAAUCUCCAUUUUAUAGUUCAAAUCGGGGGAAAUAAAUACAGUAAAUGGGAAAAAGUACAAAGAUUCACAAAAUGUUUAGGGGUAUGCAGGCCUCUGCGUACCCCCAGAACAAAAGCACUGGUCUUUUGCAUCUCUAGCACCCCCUACCAUCCACUUGCCUCUUACCAACUUCUCCUAGGUAAUCCCACUGCCCACUUUGGAAACCACUGAUUUAAAUUAAGACCUUCAACUGAACGAGGCCAUCACCCACCCAGGGCUUCUGAAAAGGGCCGUCAGAUGUGGACAGGCUUAGGGUGGGAGGAGGCAGUUGCCAAGCUCUUCAAAGCUUCCAAGAGCCUCUUGGAAUUGCAGCUGGAAAUGGUCUUUGACUCCAAGGCUGGCCCAAGACAGGUGGCUGCCGGAGGCCACAUAGCAAAUGGUCUCCCCUGUCUUCCAGUCAAGACUGCAUUUUAUUGCAUUUAUUAUCUACAUGGUCCUCCUCCUCCUCCUCCUCCUCAUUGUUCUCUUCACAACAACCCUGCGAGGUAGGUUAGGCUCAGAGGCUGUGACUGGUCCAAGGCCGCCCAGGGAGUGGCAGAACUGAAUGGGGAUUCGAACCUUGGCUUCCCAGGUGCUAGUCCAGCAGCCUAACCACUACACCAUCCAGGCUGUCCUGGAUUUGGUGCAAUAUACUUUCUUCUUGGGUCCAAGACUGGCCCAGCUAGUCUGGCAUCUGAAGCAGAAAAUCCCAUGAGUCGUUCUCCCUGGGAGG